UCUUCCCAGACCAAAGUGUCCGCUGGGAAACCAGUGGGGUGGCCUUGGAGUUCUCGCCUGGAGGACUGAGAAGGCCCCACGCAUGCAACUAGUGGCAGAAGUUUCAAGGGAUGGCGUCACUCCAGGCGGAUGGUCCAGUCUUGACCUAUUCUUGGUACUAAGUCGGGUGAGGCUGAGAAUACCAGGAUUCUGCGUUGGGAGUCAAAUACAGGAAUAUGCUGGAAGGGAGUUUAAAACACUCUUUGGAGUGUGGUCCCUGCCAUUAAGAAAUUGACUAUCCAAUUGGAGAGAUGAGACACUUUCACCCAUAAAGGAAGGAAAUAAGAAAGCAGGUGAUGAAACCUAAUCAGAAAAUCACAUCUAAGACUGAGCCAAGAGUUUGGAUGUGUUUGGAUGUGUUUCAGAAAAGAGCCAACUUGAAUCAACCUGUUAUCACCAUCCUCACCAACACCCUUUUCCCCCCAACACAGGCAUAAGCUACCGGAGCAACCCUACAACUUCACAGCUUUGAAGUCCUUAUCAAAGCAACAGAAGUUCUUUGGCAACUCCCCAGGGCCACUUAACACUUCCUGGAGCUUCAUGUAUCAGGAGCUCCCAGAACUCUACCAAAACAGAUCUUUGGCCACCACAGCCCCUUGCUAGGUUCUGGGUAAACAGGUUGGUGAGGACAGGCCAAGAUCUGCUUCAUGUAUCAAGCCUGAAGCCGGAGCACAUCCAUGGAUGCUUUCCAGGAAUUUACCUAGAUUUGACCUGAAAUAUUAACAUCUAGGGUCUUAA